rfam:Otolemur garnettii contig118261, whole genome shotgun sequence.
AUCCUUUUCUUUUAAUGGUUCAUAAAUGUGAUGAUUGGGUUUUCAGGUGUCUGUGUGAGAUGUUCCUCCCUGAAACUUUGUUGUAAUACCAGCACAUUACUUGCUUACA